GAUGAACGCUGGCGGCGUGCCUAAUACAUGCAAGUCGAGCGAACAGACGAGGAGCUUGCUCCUCUGACGUUAACGGCGGACGGGUGAGUAACACGUGGAUAACCUACCUAUAAGACUGGGAUAAAUUCGGGAAACCGGAGCUAAUACCGGAUAAUAUAUUGAACCGCAUGGUUCAAUAGUGAAAGACGGUUUUGCUGUCACUUAUAGAUGGAUCCGCGCCGCAUUAGCUAGUUGGUAAGGUAACGGCUUACCAAGGCAACGAUGCGUAGCCGGCCUGAGAGGGUGGUCGGCCACACUGGAACUGAGACACGGUCCAGACUCCUACGGGAGGCAGCAGUAGGGAAUCUUCCGCAAUGGGCGAAAGCCUGACGGAGCAACGCCGCGUGAGUGAUGAAGGUCUUCGGAUCGUAAAACUCUGUUAUUAGGGAAGAACAAAUGUGUAAGUAACUAUGCACGUCUUGACGGUACCUAAUCAGAAAGCCACGGCUAACUACGUG
rnacentral:rRNA from 1 species